rnacentral:piRNA from 1 species
UGAAUCCAAAGUGCCAAGGGCAUUGAUUU